GGGGAUUUAGCUCAGCGGUAGAGCGCUUGCCUACGGAGCGCAAGGCCCUGGGUUCGGUCCCCAGCCCCG
rnacentral:tRNA from 1 species